rnacentral:rRNA from 1 species
CGCGGCCUAUCAGCUUGUUGGUGGGGUAAUGGCCUACCAAGGCGUCGACGGGUAGCCGGCCUGAGAGGGUGUACGGCCACAUUGGGACUGAGACACGGCCCAGACUCCUACGGAAGGCAGCAGUGGGGAAUAUUGCACAAUGGGCGAAAGCCUGAUGCAGCGACGCCGCGUGGGGGAUGAAGGCCUUCGGGUUGUAAACUCCUUUCGCUAGGGACGAAGAGUUACAUUAACGGUACCUGGAGAAGAAGCACCGGCUAACUACGUGCCAGCAGCCGCGGUAAUACGUAGGGUGCGAGCGUUGUCCGGAAUUACUGGGCGUAAAGAGCUCGUAGGUGGUUUGUCGCGUCGUCUGUGAAAUCCCGGGGCUUAACUCCGGGCGUGCAGGCGAUACGGGCAUAACUUGAGUGCUGUAGGGGAGACUGGAAUUCCUGGUGUAGCGGUGAAAUGCGCAGAUAUCAGGAGGAACACCAAUGGCGAAGGCAGGUCUCUGGGCAGUAACUGACGCUGAGGAGCGAAAGCAUGGGUAGCGAACAGGAUUAGAUACCCUGGUAGUCCAUGCCGUAAACGGUGGGCGCUAGGUGUGGGGUCCUUCCACGGACUCCGUGCCGUAGCUAACGCAUUAAGCGCCCCGCC